rnacentral:rRNA from 1 species
UAGAGUUUGAUCCUGGCUCAGAGUGAACGCUGGCGGCAUGCCUAACACAUGCAAGUCGAACGGCAGCACAGCAGUAGCAAUACUGUGGGUGGCGAGUGGCGGACGGGUGAGGAACACAUCGGAAUUUGCCCAGUCGUAGGGGAUAACGUAGGGAAACUUACGCUAAUACCGCAUACGACCUAACGGUGAAAGCGGGGGAUCGCAAGACCUCGCGCGGAUGGAUAAGCCGAUGUCGGAUUAGCUAGUUGGUGGGGUAAAGGCCUACCAAGGCGACGAUCCGUAGCUGGUCUGAGAGGAUGAUCAGCCACACUGGGACUGAGACACGGCCCAGACUCCUACGGGAGGCAGCAGUGGGGAAUAUUGGACAAUGGGGGCAACCCUGAUCCAGCAAUGCCGCGUGUGUGAAGAAGGCCUUCGGGUUGUAAAGCACUUUUGUCCGGAACGAAACGUGCGGGGUGAAUAGCCUCGUAAACUGACGGUACCGGAAGAAUCAGCACCGGCUAACUUCGUGCCAGCAGCCGCGGUAAUACGAAGGGUGCAAGCGUUACUCGGAAUUACUGGGCGUAAAGGGUGCGUAGGUGGUUUUUCAAGUCUGCCGUGAAAUCCCCGGGCUCAACCUGGGAAUGGCGGUGGAUACUGGAAAGCUGGAGUGCGGUAGAGGGUAGUGGAAUUCCCGGUGUAGCAGUGAAAUGCGUAGAGAUCGGGAGGAACACCAGUGGCGAAGGCGGCUACCUGGACCAGCACUGACACUGAGGCACGAAAGCGUGGGGAGCAAACAGGAUUAGAUACCCAGGUAGUCCACGCCCUAAACGAUGCGAACUGGAUGUUGGGUACAUUACGGUACUCAGUGUCGAAGCUAACGCGUUAAGUUCGCCGCCCUGGGGAGUACGGUCGCAAGACUGAAACUCAAAGGAAUUGACGGGGGCCCGCACAAGCGGUGGAGUAUGUGGUUUAAUUCGAUGCAACGCGAAGAACCUUACCUGGCCUUGACAUCUGUCGAAUCCUGCAGAGAUGCGGGAGUGCCGCAAGGAACGACAAGACAGGUGCUGCACGGCGGUCGUCAGCUCGUGUCGUGAGAUGUUGGGUUAAGUCCCGCAACGAGCGCAACCCUUGUCCAAGUUGCCAGCACGUAAUGGUGGGAACUCUAAGGAGACUGCCGGUGACAAACCGGAGGAAGGUGGGGAUGACGUCAAGUCCUCAUGGCCCUUACGGCCAGGGCUACACACGUACUACAAUGGUCGGUACAGAGGGUUGCGAAGCCGCGAGGUGGAGCCUAUCCCAGAAAACCGAUCCCAGUCCGGAUUGGAGUCUGCAACUCGACUCCAUGAAGUCGGAAUCGCUAGUAAUCGCGAAUCAGCUAUGUCGCGGUGAAUACGUUCCCGGGCCUUGUACACACCGCCCGUCACACCAUGGGAGUUGGCUGCACCAGAAGCAGGUAGUCUAACCGCAAGGAGGACGCCUACCACGGUGUGGUCAAUGACUGGGGUGAAGUCGUAACAAGGUA